AAUAGAUACCCUGGUAGUCCACGCCGUAAACGGUGGGCACUAGGUGUGGGCGACAUUCCACGUCGUCCGUGCCGCAGCUAACGCAUUAAGUGCCCCGCCUGGGGAGUACGGCCGCAAGGCUAAAACUCAAGGGAAUUGACGGGGGCCCGCACAAGCGGCGGAGCAUGUGGCUUAAUUCGACGCAACGCGAAGAACCUUACCAAGGCUUGACAUACACCGGAAACGUCCAGAGAUGGGCGCCCCUUUGUGUCGGUGUACAGGUGGUGCAUGGCUGUCGUCAGCUCGUGUCGUGAGAUGUUGGGUUAAGUCCCGCAACGAGCGCAACCCUUGUCCCGUGUUGCCAGCAGGCCCUUGUGGUGCUGGGGACUCACGGGGAGACCGCCGGGGUCAACUCGGAGGAAGGUGGGGACGACGUCAAGGUCAUCAUGCCCCUUAUGUCUUGGGCUGCACACGUGCUACAAUGGCCGGUACAAUGAGCUGCGAUACCGCGAGGUGGAGCGAAUCUCAAAAAGCCGGUCUCAGUUCGGAUUGGGGU
rnacentral:rRNA from 1 species